rnacentral:rRNA from 1 species
AUGGAUCUUAGCAUGAACUGUUUGCUAGGGACAAGUAGCCAUAUUCCUCAGUUCUUGAGCUCCAUGGAGAACUUGAGGUAUCUUAACCUCUGCGGCAUGUCAUUUACCGGUAGAGUUCCUUCUCAACUUGGUAAUCUGUCUAAGUUGCAGCAUCUUGACCAUGGUCAGGGUUAUAGCGAGAUGUACGAGGCAGACAUCACCUGGUUAACAAAGCUACCAUUGCUGCAGUAUCUUAGCAUGAAUGGAAUAAAUCUCUCUAGGAUAACUGACUGGCCUGGUACAUUGAAUAUGAUUCCAUCUCUAAGGGUUAUCAAUCUUGCUGCAUGCUCACUUGAUACUGCAAGUCAAUCACUUCCCUACCUUAACCUCAUGAAACUUGAGAUGCUUGAUCUGUCCGAGAAUAAUUUAGGCAACUCAAUUGCAUCAAGUUGGUUUUGGAAAGUGACGAGCCUCAAAUACCUCAGUCUUCGUCUGAGUUUCCGUGCAAAUUGGUUAUCCGGUAAACUUCCCGAUGCACUAGGAAACAUGACGUCGCUCAAGGUCCUUGAUGUGUCAGCAACCAAUCUGAAUAAGACCGGAAACAUUGAAAACCUUUGCUCUUUGGAAAUCCUCGACCUCUCUAAAAAUCAUAUGAUUGGAGAUAUAGUGGUGUUGAUGGAGGGAUUGCCGAGAUGUGCACGGGGGAAACUGCUGGAGCUGAAUUUGCACCGGGGCCCUGCCAAAUUUUAUAGGGGAAUUCAGCAGCUUGAGCAUGCUUGA